rnacentral:rRNA from 1 species
AGUCGAGCGGCAGCGCGGGGCAACCUGGCGGCGAGCGGCGAACGGGUGAGUAAUACAUCGGAACGUGCCCAAGUGUGGGGGAUAGCCCGGCGAAAGCCGGAUUAAUACCGCAUACGAUCUAAGGAUGAAAGCGGGGGAUCGCAAGACCUCGCGCACUUGGAGCGGCUGAUGGCAGAUUAGGUAGUUGGUGGGGUAAAGGCCUACCAAGCCUACGAUCUGUAGCUGGUCUGAGAGGACGACCAGCCACACUGGGACUGAGACACGGCCCAGACUCCUACGGGAGGCAGCAGUGGGGAAUUUUGGACAAUGGGCGAAAGCCUGAUCCAGCCAUUCCGCGUGCAGGAUGAAGGCCCUCGGGUUGUAAACUGCUUUUGUACAGAACGAAAAGGCUCUGGUUAAUACCUGGGGCUCAUGACGGUACUGUAAGAAUAAGCACCGGCUAACUACGUGCCAGCAGCCGCGGUAAUACGUAGGGUGCAAGCGUUAAUCGGAAUUACUGGGCGUAAAGCGUGCGCAGGCGGUUUUGUAAGACAGAGGUGAAAUCCCCGGGCUCAACCUGGGAACUGCCUUUGUGACUGCAAGGCUGGAGUACGGCAGAGGGGGAUGGAAUUCCGCGUGUAGCAGUGAAAUGCGUAGAUAUGCGGAGGAACACCGAUGGCGAA